ACCCAGCACCGUCUGCUUUGGGAAGAGGUGGGCAAGGGUAUUCUCUCUGGUUUAGCUUAUGGGGUUUCUACUUUGCUUCAUUUCACUGUGUAUAUAUGAUACUCACUGGUGGGUAGCUGCAGACCUUUCUGAGCCCCAUACUGGGGUAGUAUUUUCCCAAUCAGCCUGAAAAUACUGUGCAGUGCCUGGAGCACAAAGAAACAGCUCUUCCUCCAAAAACACCCAAGUCAACUGAACUACAGCAAAAAACGUGUCCUUUGGGAAUAACCGCUUGUUCUCUUAGCCGAAAGUGACCUGCUGAUGCUUAGUUUCAGCUGGAGAGGGAAAGCCAUUUGUGCACUCUGAUGUAUGUAUGCGGCCUAAAGCCUUCACAACUACAAUACUACCACUGUGAACGCAGUUGCCUCCAUUUCAAUGAAUCCAGCUGUGGAGAACUCAAAGGGAAAUUAGCUGUGCAACCAUUAAAAAUGACUCAAAUGCAUUUCUAUGCACAAAAAUGUCAUAGCAUUAAAAUCUUGAGUCUUUUCAGGACGUGUCCCCUUUGUGUGGCUGGGAAUCGCCCUUCUCUAAUAGCAUUAACCUCCCGUUUCUAUCCCUUCAUGACCAUCAGGCAUUAA
rnacentral:lncRNA from 1 species